AGCUUUGUGUAGUGACAAUAUCAUAGCCAAUGAGGUUUAUCUGAAACAUAAUUAUUGCUAAUUGAAAACAUCUUCCAUUAGAGGUAAGGUGAAAAGAGCCCAAGCUGUGGUUUGACUUUAAAUUCUGUUUAUUUUCCUAAUAA